CAGGCUCCCAAACAACUCUCAUCUCCCAAAAUUCCCCUGCCAUAGGAACCACAGUAUGAGUGGAAUUUGCUUCAAAAGCAAAGACCAAGAAGACUUGGUAAUGUACAUAUGGCUGAAGUCUUGAGAAGGACCCAGAACAAAAGUCGCAAUAAGAAAAAAGGGCUCAGUUUUUAUAGAAGAAGUUAUCACUUGACAGGUCAAGGUCAGCCCUUGAGGAGGACAACAAGUUGGGCUGAUGGAGGCAUCAUGUUCUGACCAGGCAGGAGAGAUGAUUUCUGCAGUGGAACUGGAGAACUUUUGGGAGAUCACACUGACCUUGUAAAGUCCAAGAAAACAAUAAAGACAUGGGGAGAAGAAAAAAGAUCAGGGACCAAUUUGAAGGGAACACAAUGAAGUGCAUGCAUAUAAUGGAGAAGAUAU